rnacentral:rRNA from 1 species
UACGUAGGGCGCAAGCGUUGUCCGGAAUUAUUGGGCGUAAAGAGCUCGUAGGUGGUUUGUUACGUCUGCUGUGAAAACCUAGGGCUUAACCCUGGGCCUGCAGUGGAUACGGGCAGACUAGAGGUAGGUAGGGGAGAAUGGAAUUCCCGGUGUAGCGGUGAAAUGCGCAGAUAUCGGGAGGAACACCGGUGGCGAAGGCGGUUCUCUGGGGUUGUUCUGACGCUGAGGAGCGAAAGCUAGGGGAGCAAACGGG